UACGAGGGGGGGCGAGCGUUUGUUCGGAAUUAUUGGGCGUAAAGGGUGCGUAGGCGGUUUGGUAAGUCUUGUGUGAAAUCUACAGGCUCAACUUGUAGUCUGCACGAGAAACUGCCGGGCUUGAGUAUGGGAGAGGUGAGUGGAAUUCCUGGUGUAGCGGUGAAAUGCGUAGAUAUCAGGAGGAACACCUGUGGCGAAAGCGGCUCACUGGACCAUAACUGACGCUGAUGCACGAAAGCUAGGGGAGCAAACAGG
rnacentral:rRNA from 1 species